AUUGAACGCUGGCGGAAUGCUUUACACAUGCAAGUCGAACGGCAGCACGGGCUUUGGUCUGGUGGCGAGUGGCGAACGGGUGAGUAAUACAUCGGAACGUGCCCAAUCGUGGGGGAUAACGUAGCGAAAGCUACGCCAAUACCGCAUACGAUCUAAGGAUGAAAGCGGGGGAUCGCAAGACCUCGCGCGAUUGGAGCGGCCGAUGGCAGAUUAGGUAGUUGGUAGGGUAAAGGCCUACCAAGCCGACGAUCUGUAGCUGGUCUGAGAGGAUGAUCAGCCACACUGGGACUGAGACACGGCCCAGACUCCUACGGGAGGCAGCAAUGGGGAAUUUUGGACAAUGGACGCAAGUCUGAUCCAGCCAUUCCGCGUGCAGGAUGAAGGCCCUCGGGUUGUAAACUGCUUUUGUACAGAACGAAAAGGCUCUGGUUAAUACCUAGGGCUCAUGACGGUACUGUAAGAAUAAGCACCGGCUAACUACGUGCCAGCCGCCGUAAUAC
rnacentral:rRNA from 1 species